AUUGAACGCUGGCGGCAGGCCUAACACAUGCAAGUCGAGCGGGGUUUUCGGACCUAGCGGCGGACGGGUGAGUAAUGCGUAGGAAGCUGCCCGAUAGAGGGGGAUACCAGUUGGAAACGACUGUUAAUACCGCAUAAUGUCUACGGACCAAAGUGUGGGACCUUCGGGCCACAUGCUAUCGGAUGCGCCGACGUGGGAUUAGCUAGUUGGGGAGGUAAUGGCUCACCAAGGCGACGAUCUCUAGCUGGUUUGAGAGGAUGAUCAGCCACACUGGAACUGAGACACGGCCCAGACUCCUACGGGAGUCAGCAGUGGGGAAUAUUGGACAAUGGGCGCAAGCCUGAUCCAGCCAUGCCGCGUGUGUGAAGAAGGCCUUCGGGUUGUAAAGCACUUUCAGCGAGGAGGAAGGGGUGUGUGUUAAUAGUACACACCUUUGACGUUACUCGCAGAAGAAGCACCGGCUAACUCUGUGCCAGCCGCCGCCGUAACAC
rnacentral:rRNA from 1 species